rnacentral:ncRNA from 2 species
AAUUUCAUAGUGUACGUUUCUCGUAUAUGUGUAGGAAUUGGCCUGCACGUCUCUACCCGAUCACCGGAAUGAUUGGACUACGGGAUGAUAACAAUUCGUU